GCUCAGGUAGCUCAGUUGGUAGAGCAUGCGACUGAAAAUCGCAGGGUCGUCAGUUCGAGUCUGACCCUGAGCACCA
rnacentral:tRNA from 1 species